rnacentral:rRNA from 1 species
AUUGAACGCUGGCGGCAUGCCUUACACAUGCAAGUCGAACGGCAGCACGGGUGCUUGCACCUGGUGGCGAGUGGCGAACGGGUGUGUAAUACAUCGGAACGUACCUUAUCGUGGGGGAUAACGCAGCGAAAGCUGUGCUAAUACCGCAUACGCCCUGAGGGGGAAAGCGGGGGAUCGCAAGACCUCGCGCGAUUAGAGCGGCCGAUGCCUGAUUAGCUUGUUGGUGGGGUAAAAGCCCACCAAGGCGACGAUCAGUAGCUGGUCUGAGAGGACGAUCAGCCACACUGGGACUGAGACACGGCCCAGACUCCUACGGGAGGCAGCAGUGGGGAAUUUUGGACAAUGGGGGCAACCCUGAUCCAGCAAUGCCGCGUGAGUGAAGAAGGCCUUCGGGUUGUAAAGCUCUUUUGUCAGGGAAGAAACACCGGCUCUAACACAGUCUGGGAAUGACGGUACCUGAAGAAUAAGCACCGGCUAACUACGUGCCAGCAGCCGCAGUAA